rnacentral:rRNA from 1 species
GUAGUAAAUUUAGCCUACUUUACCUAAAUAAAUUAAUAAUACUUUCAACCAAUUAAAUAAAACAUUUUAUCAUUUUAGUAAAGGAGAUAGAAAAAUUUAUUAGCGCAAUAUAAAUAGUACUGCAAAGGAAAAAUGAAACAGAAAUUAAAUAAAUCAUAAAAACAAUAAAAAGCAAAGAUUUAACCUUAUACCUUUUGCAUCAUGGUCUAGUAAGUUUAACCUAACACAAAGAACUUAAGUUAGACAUCCCGAAACUAAACGAGCUACUACGAAGCAGCAAAACGAGCCAACCCUUCUCUGUGACAAAAGAGUGGGAUGACUUCCUAGUAGAGGUGAUAAGCCUAACGAGUCUAG